GUAGUGAUGAUUCUUACAAUAAUGAUCAUGAAUGAAAGAACUUCAGUAAUCCUCUAAGAAGUACUGAACUG